UUAUAAGAUGCACAAAGAACAUGACCUCAACCCCACACUGCAGGAGCCUACCGUGUGUAUGUGUGUGUUGUGUGUGGGAGUGUGUGUUAGUGUGUGUGUUUGUGUGUGUGUGCAUGUGUGUGUGUGUGCGUGUUUGCGCACUUGUGUGACACAAUAGUUUGAGGAAUACAGUACUAUCUUCCAGAGCAUACCAAGAUGGCGCUCAGUUUUGGGGGCCAAAUCGUGGUGCAACAGCGACAUUAAGAGGCCAAUUGAGGUGUAGUAUACAUCUCGUGCCAUUGAUGAAUGGAAAUGAAGCUCGUGAUGAAGUCCUCAAUGGAUAAGUCUUCAGUUGUCCUUCAGUCAAAACAUGAAGACCACUCAGUGUCCCUUACAUGUCCUCGGCUGUUUUUAAAGUGACAAAGUGUGACCAAUCUGUCUCAAGAAAAGGAAAAUCUAAAUGGAGGUGGGGGCAAUGGGGCCGGAAACAGUCGUGCCCUGGCACCCAACAGCCAUUUCAGUUCUGAGAGAAAAUAGAUUGCAGAUGUUUUUGCAUGCACACGCACGCACGCAUGCACACACACAAAUAAAACAGUGGAGAGACUGUUCACAACCUAGUACACUUUGUAUUUGACUACACAUGAAAUAAGUUGACAAGUACUGCAUCAUUAAAGUCUGCAAUCGACCCAGCUAUUCCUCAUUGAAAUGCAUCAGAAAAAUAUUCUUAACUGUACAGGCAAUGCUAGAAGUCAGUGAUUCCCAACUACUGUUUUCCAAUUUCACUAGAUUGGUCCAAAAACAUAUUUGUCUACUAAUAAUAAUGUAUCAAUCUAGAUCUAUUUAUGACGAAACGCGAUCAAAAGAAUAGUUAAAUGCUCUUCCACUUGAUGGGAAAAGGUACAAUUGACCUGUAGAUACAGCUGCUGCCAUUUAAAUAACAGAAUAAUAGCCUAAUAGCUUAAUAGCUUAACUUCACAGACCUGUAUUUUCAAGAAUGAGUAAAUUGAGAUGAUAUCAUCAUGAUGCAAGUGUUUUUGUUUGAUGGUGUUUACUGAAUUUUAUGAAUGUAAAGUAUGUGCUUUGGCUAAUAAAAUUGUGGGAGACACUGCUCUAAAUAUCAUUUUUAACUGUCAUUGCAUUUAAAAUGAAGUAAAGCAGUGAAUUGAAAACAUAAUGACUUGUAAAAGUGUCCUUAUCGUGGGGUAUUUUACGCAUACUUGAGUUGUUAGCAGGAAUGCUAAUGAAUGUCUUUCUAUUACCAAUUUGCUGUUUUAAACAUAAUUUGGCCACAUUGUUUUGCUUAUGUGGACAGUAUAUAUGAAUUGAAUAGACAUAAAUAUGUGAUCUAAAGCAUUCAAAUCAUAUCUUGAGCUUUUAGCAUUGAUGGUAAAAAAUAAAAGAGAUUUGAUUUUCCAAAAAAAGACCCAGAAAUUCUAAACAUUCUAAACUUAGCUCCUUUCAGACAUGCAAAAUAUCUAAGAACAGCCAAGACGUGUCACUCCAACAUAAUUAAGUCCUUUACACCAAUUAGCCAACUAACCUGUUAGUCAUGACUUUGGAGCCAUCUUGUGCCAUCUUGGAGAAUUACAGAA